AGGACGAACGCUGGCGGCGUGCUUAACACAUGCAAGUCGAGCGGAAAGGCCCUUCGGGGUACUCGAGCGGCGAACGGGUGAGUAACACGUGAGCAAUCUGCCCUUAGCUUCGGGAUAGCCCCGGGAAACCGGGAUUAAUACCGAAUACGACCUCGGCCGACAUCGGCUUUGGUGGAAAGUUUUUCGGCUAGGGAUGAACUCGCGGCCUAUCAGCUUGUUGGUGGGGUAAUGGCCUACCAAGGCGACGACGGGUAGCCGGCCUGAGAGGGCGACCGGCCACACUGGGACUGAGACACGGCCCAGACUCCUACGGGAGGCAGCAGUGGGGAAUAUGCGCAAUGGGCGAAAGCCUGACGCAGCGACGCCGCGUGGGGGAUGAAGGCCUUCGGGUUGUAAACCCCUUUCAGCAGGGACGAAGCGAAAGUGACGGUACCUGCAGAAGAAGCGCCGGCUAACUACGCGCCAGCAGCCGC
rnacentral:rRNA from 1 species